UGGUGGAGUGAUUUGUCUGGUUAAUUCCGUUAACGAACGAGACCGCCACCUGCUAUAUAGUUCCACUAAUGGUUUUUCUUUGGUGAGAGCUUCUUAGAGGGACAUUCAUUCUACAAGAUGGAGGAAGAUGGCGGCAAUAGCG
rnacentral:rRNA from 1 species